rnacentral:misc_RNA from 1 species
AAACGAUUGCGCGAUGUCUGGAAGAAAAGAAACUGUUCUGGAUUUGGCUAAGUUUGUAGACAAAGGCGUCCAAGUGAAGCUUACCGGCGGCAGACAAGUUACUGGAACGCUCAAAGGAUAUGAUCAAUUGCUAAACCUUGUGCUGGAUGAAGCUAUAGAGUUUCUAAGAGAUCCUGAUGAUCCAUUGAAGACAACAGAUCAAACCCGGCCUCUUGGCCUAAUCGUCUGCAGGGGGACUGCUG